ensembl:snoRNA
GCAUGGGUUUGGAUUAUGGCCGGCCCAUCCCCAUGAGCCUAGCAUAGUGUCCCAUGCCAGAGCAAACAGUAGCCCCAAACCAUUGUCUGGCCUUGCCCAUGGGCUGCGAGGACUAAAGUGGGUUACAAUGUU